rnacentral:rRNA from 1 species
GACGAACCACACGAACGUUAUUCGGAAUUACUGGGCUUAAAGGGUGCGUAGGCGGCGCGGACAGUUGGGUGUGAAAUCCCUCGGCUUAACCGAGGAACUGCGCCCAAAACUACCGUGCUCGAGGAAGAUAGAGGUGAGCGGAACUUACGGUGGAGCGGUGAAAUGCGUUGAUAUCGUAAGGAACACCUGUGGCGAAAGCGGCUCACUGGGUCUUUUCUGACGCUGAAGCACGAAAGCUAGGGGAUCAAACAGGAUUAGAAACCCGUGUAGU